rnacentral:lncRNA from 1 species
AGUCUUUGCCUGGCCGCAGUACGCCUCACAAAGUCUUUGUGUAAUCUCCAGGGUUAGCAGGCCUCAGAUCAAAAUUAGAAGCCUAAAUGGCAAACUAACCAAAUUGGUUUUUUUUUUAUAAAGUAAAAUCUCUCAAUUCACUUUUAAAAUAAACUUAAUCUGGUUUGAAGUGUCCCUAUGACAACCAUCUCAAUACUGAAUUUUAAUUAUAUGAUAGGUAUGUAGCUAAUUACAUCAAAUAAUAGUUAACAGUUAAAUCGAUCUCUGGCUGUAUUUUUAUUUUUAUUUUUUUGAGAGCUUCUCUCUCUGUCAUCCAGGCUGGAGUGCAGUGACAUGAUCUCGGCUCACUGCAACCUCUGACUUCUGGGUUCAGGCAAUUCGCAUGCCUGUAGUUCCAGCUACUCAGAAGGCUGAGGUUGGAGGAUUGCUUGAGCCCAGGAGUUCAAGGCUGCAAUGAGCCGUGAUCAUGCCACUGUACAUCAGCCUGGGCAACAGAGCAGGACCCUGUCUCAUAAAGAAAAAUAACAACAACUACCACAAAAUGAAGAAUUGGCGAAUGUAGUAACUAGAUCCAAGUUCAUGGUUCUUACAGUUACCACUUCACAAGAAAAAGCCUGUAAGAUUUAAAGCUGAGGAUCACAUGGCUAGUAACACUGAAAGAAGCACUAUAGAACAAGGGAGACGAAGUCAUUCUGAACAUUCAGAUUACUUAUUUUUAACAAACAACUUAAUAUCUCUAUCUUUUAUAUACUUUUCAGAUUAUAAGUGUAAUUAUGCUUUAGAGAUAAAGACAAC